rnacentral:tRNA from 1 species
GCGGAUGUAGUUCAACGGCAGAACAUCAGCUUCCCAAGCUGAGAAUGCGGGUUCGAUUCCCGUCGUCCGCU